GGAGGUGCGGAGAGGACGGAGCCAGGCUGCACCCGGCAGUGCCCAGCAGGGGGACCGCAGGCACUGGGCACACGCUGCAGCGCAGCAGUUUUCCCCACAGUGCUGCCACGGCCGCGCUGCUUCCCCGUUUUGGGUACUACUACUGGAUAUGUAUGGCUGGGCUAAUAAACCCCCAGAGACCCCACUGUGGUGCGCAAGCUAGGAGGAGCGAUCCCCCUUGCACCCGGCGUGUUGCACAGCGCUGAAGGAAAGACGUAUCUGCUCUCAUAACCUGACGUGGGUUCGAGAGUUUAAUUCCACAGGUCAGUUGGGCACCCCAGAUGGGACACUCUCUGUUCGGCUGCAGGACCAGUUGAGGAGGGAGACGCCUUUGGCGCGCCCCGAGAAUUCUUGGAAGGACUCCCCCUGCUCAUCCGAUCACUGCGGGGACAGACGGGGACCAUGUGGAAGCGGACCAGAUAAAAGACUGGUGAUGUUUCUUACUGGUGCUUGAAAACAAACACUCCAAAGCCCACGGAAAGAUCACCACCUCCAACCACAAAGCUACCAGAGGAACUGUAGAGCAUAACAGCUUCUAUAGCUACUGCUAUUAGAACUUUUUGAUCUCAAGUGCCUGCAAAGAUCACUCAAUCUGUCAGGCCUCCCCUGCCUCAUUUCCAACCUUCCCCUCAGCGAGCAGCUUUCUACCUCAGUCUUUAUUUUCUGAAAAAUCCUCAGGUGUGGCAUUUUGAAUCUGCCAACUCUGGUAUUCUUGAGCAACUCCAUCCUGUAGAGCAGAUACACGCUUUGAGAGUAGUGAUUGACGUGGUUCCAGCGUGACAGUGCAGCACACGGGUGUCCUUUUCCAUCUUCGGGCCCACCUUACUGCCUUUCCAACCUGUGCACUGAGUUGCAAUGACAUGUCAGUAUCGGAUCCGUCAGCACUGUGCUGAGCCUCGCCUUACUCAUACUCACCACUGGAUGUUGCUCAGCUUUAGCAAUCGUGUUUCUGCUACAGAAGGGCUUGCAGGAUAUCUGUAGUAUUGAUCUGGCCCGAAGGUGACAACCUUCCAACCUGCUGGUCUCUGCCCAUGUUCUCUGUCACAACAUCGGAUGUGUGUGCUCGCUGGAUGCACUGGUAAGAAAUGUAUUUGAGAAGAGAACCUCGUGCUUCCCAGAGCAGUAAGACUGUGAGGAUUUGGGAGGCUUUUCACAAACCUGAUUCAAGUGUGCUUUCCCAGAUGGCGUGCUGUUAAAGCAGCCCUUCUCAAAAGCAGAGCGUUGUGCCUGGUGUGACUUAAAUCCCACCCACAAAGGAGCAUUCCCUGCAGUCUCAGGUGCAUGUUUCCCCCACUGCUGGAACUGCUGGACUUUCAUGCCUUCACUGUGUGUGUUUGGGUCUCUUUAUUAGCUCUGUUUGUUCUACUAGCUGUAUGCAAACGUAUUGGGAGGAAAUGAAAAGAUCUUUGAAAAUAGCUUGGAGAUAUUAACCUGAGGCAAGAAGGCGAAUUUUAUUGCCUUAAAUCAGGCUUCAGAGGAUGUCCUUGAACUCAGAAGCUUGGACUUUGUUGUAGCUUGAUAUUUACUGCUUGAACUUUCUAUAACUCUAGGACUGGAGGGAGAGCUUUUCUUCACACCUUGCUGUGUAUGAAAUCUACACUUGAACUGGACUCGAGACGGGCAGAAAUGUAGCUGAGCGGAGCCUCCAGCAGCUCAGCCCUUUCCUUCAAACAAUGAAGAUGGCUUUAAUAUUCGUAAGUCAGAAAUCUCGUAUCAAAACUUAAUUCUGGUAUGGACACAGCCUCGCUGUGGAAGACGUGGCAGGUGUGGUCUUUGAGUCACCACAGGUGUGGGACACGUGAAGUAAUCUGGACGUGUUUCAAUUUCUGUGUAUUUUUCCCCGUUUCUCUGAUCAUUUCUCUGUAUUGCUGCAUAUGGCAGGGAUUGCUGUCCUGGCCCAGAGCUCUGUUCCCUCAUGGGCUGCACUCGUUUUGCUGUCCCAUCAUUUGGGUUGCACAGGCCAUCCACGGCCAGUGUUCCCAUCCUCCUGGGCCUCCACACACAUGGCAGUUAGCAAGAAAGAGCAAAGUUGUUCAACCUUGUCCUAAAGUUAUCAAUCUGUUCAUCCAACCUGUGCCUUGGUCGCAGUGGCAGCGUGCCGUUAGCAAUGCCGUUCAUUGUUUCAUGAGAUUCAGUGUUAGUCAUUUUAGAAUGCCCAUCCCUGCGAUGUAUUCUGGGGCGGGGACAGUCAUCACAGGAUGCAGUCGUUGGGGGAGGUUUCCUAUUCUCAUUUCUAUUUGUGUUUGUACAGCUUCAGUUUGUUUCCCUCCCAGCCCUAUAAUAAUUACCAGUUGUCCUUCACGUUUCUUGGGGUUCCCAUAUGUUAAGGAGGUCUCUGCUCCGGGGUCAUUUAAGGCUCUUACAGUUUGCGAGGACCCGUUUUUCCAAAAUAUUUGGAGCUGCACGAGGGGUUGUUGGUCCUGCACCCGUUGCGUUGGAGCUUGGCCAUCAUUUCAUUCUUGUCUUUACCUGGAGCUGCUUCCCUAACCUCCUUCCAAGGUUACAAACUGGAACAUGGUUCCCAAUCCUUCUCCCCUAGAGCAGCUGAUCCUCCCGCGUUGGGCCCUGUGAGCAGAUGAGAGUCCCACUGAGGCUCUCAAGGGAGUGCAGUAGCUGGAAUUGUUCCUGGGCUGUUUGCUUUAGAAUGUGGCACUUUCUUGCUAGGUUUCUUAACCCCUCUCAGUUUGUGCAUCCUCUGUAAUUCAGGAAUUGGAAAACCAUCCGUCUUAUUGUGAGGCAUCCUGUCUUGUAAUAAAGCUAUAAACACUUAUUUUCAAGAAAU